rnacentral:lncRNA from 1 species
AUUGAGUUCUGUUUCCUUAUUACCAUUUUAUGUGAAUUGUGCUGCUAACUGGAGGUUCAUUUCUUGGAAGUGGAAUCUCAGGCAGUGAGUUCUAAGGGUGCUUCGGAGAAAACGAGGCAAGGGGCAUACCUGGAAAGCAUCCGAGAACCAGACUCCUUGAAGAAGAGGCUCUCCUGAUGGCUGCCCAGAUGAGGAAGGACAUAGAGUUUUAACCCACAAAUACCCAGAAAUUGUCUGUGGUGUGAGAUAACUAUUUAGGGGGAGACUCUUGCAAAUGAUCUCAAAGAAUACUUGAUGUUUUGCUGGUCUCGGUCCCAUUAUCCCCAAGAAUACUUUGAUCAAAGUCACAUCGAGAGUAAUUAGACAAGCCUGGAUGGACCUUGAUUUUCUAAGCCUACAUUUAGGGGAUUUUUUCACUAUUCUUUUCUGCAUAUUAAUUGACAGAUUCAACAAUGAAAGUGCUCAACAACAGCAGCAAGUCUCAACUCUCUCCUGAUGAACUACCAGAAGCUUCUUUAACCUUCCACGUGCCACUAAAGAAAGCAAUACCACUUGUCCAACCAGCAAGUUCCCAACAAGGUGGCUGGGGAGUCACCUGUCUCAAUUGGAAGCCUUCCAUGUCUUGCCUCUGACUUCUUGGAAAUCCUCCCAGGUUAAAUUUCUUUUGCUUUCACACUGGUUAUCCUAAUUUAUUCAUCUGAGGAGAAGUUCUCUUUCUGGUCUUUAGAAGAGUCUGGGGGUCUCCUUGAUAUUUUCUCUGAUGG